GUGACUGUAGUUCAGUCGGUAGAGCGCCAGUUUGUGGAUCUGGUUGUCGCGAGUUCAAGUCUCGUCAGUCACCCCA
rnacentral:tRNA from 1 species